rnacentral:rRNA from 1 species
AGAGCGAACGCUGGCGGCAGGCUUAACACAUGCAAGUCGAGCGGGCGUAGCAAUACGUCAGCGGCAGACGGGUGAGUAACGCGUGGGAACAUACCUUUUGGUUCGGAACAACACAGGGAAACUUGUGCUAAUACCGGAUACGCCCUUACGGGGAAAGAUUUAUCGCCGAAAGAUUGGCCCGCGUCUGAUUAGCUAGUUGGUGAGGUAAUGGCUCACCAAGGCGACGAUCAGUAGCUGGUCUGAGAGGAUGAUCAGCCACAUUGGGACUGAGACACGGCCCAAACUCCUACGGGAGGCAGCAGUGGGAAUAUUGGACAAUGGGCGCAAGCCUGAUCCAGCCAUGCCGCGUGAGUGAUGAAGGCCCUAGGGUUGUAAAGCUCUUUUGUGCGGAAGAUAAUGACGGUACCGCAAGAAUAAGCCCGGCUAACUUCGCGCCAGCAGCCGC